AUGGAUGAUAUCCUGAAAUAUGUUUUUCAAGUUGUUUCCAUUCUCCCCAUCUCUUUCAGAGAGAGCAAUGAGUCAUACAUUUGGUCUCUUUACAUAAUCCCCUAUUUCUCUGAGGUUUUGUUCAUUUAUUUUCCUUCUUUUUUCUCUGUUCUUGUCUGACUGUCUUAUUUCAGAAAGGCAGCCAUCAAGCUCUGAGAUUCUUUCCUCCACUUGGUCUAUUCUGCUACUAAUACUUCAGCUCAGCCCAGUUCAGAACUCCUGUUGGAGAGAUGAUUCAGCUGUUUGCAGGAAAAAAGGCCCUCUGACUUUGAUUGUGAAGGAAGAGAGAAAUGUGGAAGAGAAGAGGAAGCAGAAGAAAAGAAAAGGAAUCAAGAUCUUACACUACCUGAAAAGCCUAAAAUAUUUACCUUUAUACAAAUCUUUCCCUUUGUAGAAAAAUUUUGACAAUCCCUGCUCUAGAGAGAGGAAGAAAACUCCAAGGAUUUACCAGGUUUCUGAAGGUAAACUACUGAGGAACAAAACCACUAAUAAAAUUCCUGCAAGAAUAAUGUAUUUUUUGAGUUUAUCACAUGGAGUUUUUUUCUUAACCAAAGGAUAAUUGAGCCCACAAAUAAAGACAAAAUAUCCACUAAAAAUAUAUCACGUAGAAACCAUUUUGAAAAUUAUGAAAAGAGUAUUUAACUAGCCUAAAUGUAGGUAGAACUAUAUGUCUGAUAAAAAAUAAAAAGCACACACUUAAAGCACACAACUUGCUAAGUUGUUGAAAUUCUCAACACAAUCAAGAUUAUAUAUUCAUAUACAUAUACAAAUAAAUAUACGUAAGAUAUAUGUAACUACCUAAUAUAAAAUAGACCAAUGAUAUGUAUAGACACUUCAUCAAAGUUAAGAUGCAUAUAUAUGUAUAUUUAUAUAUAUAUAUCCAUUACUAGUCUCAAAAUGUCCUCACGUCCUCUUGUAAUCUUCGUUUCUCCUUUUCUUGUCCUCCUCUCCAAUCUCACCCCAUUUCCAGGCAACCAGUGAUUAUCUUUGUGUUACUAUAUUUUUUUUCUCAAAUUGUAUAUAAUAAAAUAAGUUUGUUAUUUUGAUAUCCAUUCAUUUUUCAUGCAUGAAUAGUUUAUGCCUUUAUAUUGCAUUGUACAGAUGUACUAAAAUUUUUUAUGCAUUCACUUGUUUUUGACUGUUAUAAAUAAAGCUGCUAUGAACAUUUAUGUAGAAAUCUUUAUAUGUACAUAUGUAUUCAUUUCUUUUAGGUAAAUACC
rnacentral:lncRNA from 10 species